GAUGAACGCUGGCGGCGUGCUUAACACAUGCAAGUCGAACGGUGAAAGAGAGCUUGCUCUCUGGAUCAGUGGCGAACGGGUGAGUAACACGUGAGCAAUCUGCCCCUGACUCUGGGAUAAGCGCUGGAAACGGCGUCUAAUACCGGAUACGAGCUGCGAAGGCAUCUUCAGCAGCUGGAAAAAACUUCGGUCAGGGAUGAGCUCGCGGCCUAUCAGCUAGUUGGUGAGGUAACGGCUCACCAAGGCGUCGACGGGUAGCCGGCCUGAGAGGGUGACCGGCCACACUGGGACUGAGACACGGCCCAGACUCAUACGGGAGGCAGCAGUGGGGAAUAUUGCACAAUGGGCGAAAGCCUGAUGCAGCAACGCCGCGUGAGGGACGACGGCCUUCGGGUUGUAAACCUCUUUUAGCAGGGAAGAAGCGAAAGUGACGGUACCUGCAGAAAAAGCACCGGCUAACUACGUG
rnacentral:rRNA from 1 species